rnacentral:lncRNA from 10 species
CAGAAACAUAAUGGAAUUCAUUCAAGGUCAAGGAGCUAGUUAAAAACGUGAAAAUUGUCAGAAUUAAAAUGGAGGCAAUUGUGUUAAAAAUCCUGACAGAUGGAGCUCGGGAAAGCAAUGAAGAAAGGGUUCCCAUUCACGAAUGCCUGACAACAGGAAUUGUCAGAAAAGACUGCAAAACCACAACCUUGCACAAAGGCCAUUGCAACCUUGCACAAAAAAAAAUACUUCUGCAAGGAUAUCUGCCCAGCAACUGCCUAUCUGACUUCAAACUGGUGCCAUCCUUAUUAUUGAUCCUUGUAACCAGGAAUAAUUAUCUCGAAAUAAUUGUGUACUCCUCUUCAUUUUUCUUUAAAAACCAUUGCCUUUCUUUACCCUCCUGAAUAAGCACAUAGUUUACUACGGUAUGUGUAUUCCCAUUGCAGUACCCAUGCUAAAUAAAUAUCAUUUUCUUUCAGAGUGCUUAUUAUUUAGAUUAAUAAAAGCAACGAGGACCAGAACCAAAUAAGGUCUCCUUAAUUUUAGCCCAAUUAUUUUCAAAGUAACUCCUCAUUCCAAAUCCCCUUCUCAACCUACUUCCCUAUUCAAAUGCUUGACAGACAUUGAUGUGAGGGUGACAGCAAACAGGCAGGCAAGACAGAAAAGGCAGUAAGAGACAGAAGCAAUAGAUAGAGCUUAAAAUGGUAAAGCUCACGAUCGCUUACUCAGGAUUCAAUAUGAUUCACUGAUUUCUACAGAAGGGACAUGGGUGCGUCUGACGGAUUGAACGGGAACAUUGAUGCAAUGAGUAGCAAGUCUGAACAGGGCUGAACCAAAUCCAUCCAUCCAUGUCUGACCAGUUUCUCUUCUAGGUUAAGGGUUAGUUCCAGUCUUUGCCACAACUCCUCUUCCUCUUUUGUUCCAGAAAGUCAAAGCUCUGCAGUUAAGAAGAAAAAUACACCACUGAAACUUUCAGAUGCCUUGAGACAAGAUUCUUCUUCCAGAAUUCUAGUAUCAUUCCAAGGCUGGACUCUUCAGAAGUGAUUGCCUGCAAAUUUAGGAUGAGAACAAAAUCACAGUUCAAGGAACUACUGGAAGAGAAAGCCACCAGCUUCAUUUGAUCCAGAUUUAAUGCCCCAGGAAGAAGCAUCCACUUAACAGAGGCUUUGUCAUAUACCAUAUACCAUACCACUUUGGCUGGCAAGGAAGUGCUUAAAACGUAGUUGAUUCUCAACCAUUGAAUGAAUGAGUGAAUGAAUUUGUUGAGUUUCUAAUUAUAAAAUAUCUUUUGUUCGAGGCACUUCUAUAUGUCAAGACCAUAUGCUGAAUUUUAUUUUAUUUUCUGACACCUUCAAAGGGCUAAUGAGUCAUAGAUUAUUUUUUUCUGUCUGCAAUUCAGUGAGUCAUUAUAACUAACUCCAUUUUAUUUCAGCCCUUGUUUAUUCCCCUCCAAAAGGGGAAGCUGGAUGAUAUUAUGAGGGGGCAGGCUGGGCACAGUGGUUCACACCUGUAAUCCCAGCACUUUGGAAGGCCGAGGCUUGAGCCCAGGAGUUCAAGAGCACCUUAGGCAACAUGGGGAAACUCUGUCUCUGCAAAACAAUAAAAAAUAAAAAAAUUCGCCAGGCAUGGUGGCAUGCACCUGUAGUCCCAGCUACUCACGAGGCUGAGGUGGGAGGAUUGCUUAAGCCUGGGAGGUAGAGGUUGUUGUGAGCCAGGAUCACAUCACUGCACUCCAGCCUGGGCAGUAGUGAGACUCUGUCUCAAAAAAAAAAAAAAAAAAAAAGGAGGAUGCAGGAUGUAAUUUGUUAACUUACUAAGUCUGAUUUUCAUUUUUCUCUAAAGUCUUGUAAAAUUUUGUUUGAGUAAAAUACACAAGAGGCAGCAGGAGAACAUUAAGAAGAGAGUUCUAGUGUAUUCAGAGGGUUUGAAAUAAAGGUACACAUGAGAAGGAACAGAGAGAUAUCCUAAGUUGUUUGAUUUUUUAAAUGGAUGUUUUACUGCAUCCUGAGGGUCUGGGAACAGAUUACUAUGUGCAAAACACACCUUUUCUACCUAGAUCAGACUUAACAUCUGCACAAACCUCAAAAGCAUCAUUUAUUUUGAAAAAUAAAGUAAGACCUAUGCUGAGUCCUGUCCACAGUGACCAUCCCAGAUGACUGCCCCCUGGUGAAACAAGACAUUUCUCCAAUCCCCACGUUAUAUUCUAUCUCUAUACCAGUGACUUCAUAUCACAAGUCCAGAUGCACUCCAGAAAUCAGGCCUAUACUUUCAGCUGCCUACUUUGGAUCUUCAAAAUAACACAGGCAAAACAGAACUCUUAAUUUUCCCCCAAACCUGCUCCUUCUGGUGCCUUCCUUGUCUCACCUAGUUCCUAAACCUAAAAAUUAUUGAUCCCUUUCUUUUCCUACCACAAUCACAAUCUGGCAAUAAGAACUGUGGUUUCUCCCUUCAAAACACACUUUGGAUCUAACCAGUCCUUUCCAUCUACACAACAAUCAGCCUGCCCAAGUCAACACAUCUCUUGCUUGAACAACCAUGGUGGCCUCUUUUUGUUUCCUCUUUCCCUUUACAUCCAUUCCCCACCUAGCAGUCAGUGUUAUCUUUUUAAAACGUGUAUUCAACAAUAUCACUUCUGUAACUCAUACCCUCCAGUGACCAUCCAUUGCACUUCAAAUCAAACUCCUCUUGGCCAGGCACGGUGGCUCACUCCUG